CUCACACAGGAGAAUAUGUGUGUAGGGCUGGGAGAGGAGACCCAGUCUAUGACACACUCUACAGUGAACCUCAGUUUCUCUGGUCAGGAGAUCUGCAGCCUUCAGUGUCUCUCAGAAUAAGUCCCAACACAACACAACACUUUACAUCAAAGUCUCUCUCACUGAGCUGUGAGGAGAAGGGGAACUCUACUGGAUGGAGACUGAUGAGCUACAGAGAGAGAGGAGUGAAGUCAGGGUGUGUCUCUAACUGGGAAUCAAUAACAGGGUCCACAUGUACCAUCAGCUACACAUACACAUUGUCCAGUGGAGUGUUCUGGUGUGAGUCUGGAUCAGGAGAGUACAGUAAUGCUGUCAACAUCACAGUUAAUAAUGGUGAUGUGAUCCUGGAGAGCCCUGCUCAUCCCGUGACUGAAGGAGACUCUGUGACUCUGAGCUGUAAAUACCGAUAAGUCAGCUCAAACUUCAAAGCUGAUUUCUACAAAGAUGGAGUACUCAUCAAGAAUGAGACCACAGGAGAGAUGACCAUCCCUACAGUAUCCAAGUCAGAUGAAGGAUUCUAUAAGUGUAAAUCUGGUCAAGGAGAAUCACCAGGAAGCUGGUUGACAGUGAGAGUCUCUCCAGUCGUAGCUCCUGGAUCCUCUACAUCAGUCCUAGUAGGAGUGGUUGUGGGUCUGGUUGUUGCUGGUGUUCUACUGGUCAUUCUCCUGGUCCUGCUGUGGAGAAAUCAAAACAACAAAGGUUCCUGUUUCAUCAGAAUAUUCUGGUGAGUACACCUGUCUCUCAACUAUA